rnacentral:rRNA from 1 species
CUUUUUUUGGAUUGGAUUGGGAAUAUGAUCUGCCCACUGAAUAGAAUUUGAAGGGCCGCGGUAAUUUGACCGUGCAAAGGUAGCAUAAUCAUUAGUUUUUUAAUUGAAGGCUGGAAUGAAUGAUUGGACGAGAUAUGAUCUAUCUGAAAUUAAUUGAUAAUUGUAUUUAAAUAUUAGGUAAGAAUGCUUAAAUUUUUUUAUGGGACGAGAAGACCCUAUAGAGUUUUAUAUAAUGAUUUUGUUUAGUGUUUGUUAAUUUAAAGUUAAUAUUGUUAUAUUUGGUUGGGGUGAUUAUGAAAUAUAAGAAGCUUUUAUGAUUAGGUUACAUUGAUUUAUGGUUAUAUGAUCCAUUAAUAGUGAUUUUAAGUUGAAAUUACCUUAGGGAUAACAGCGUGAUUUUCUUUGAGAGUUCUUAUUGACAGGGGAGAUUGGGA